rnacentral:rRNA from 1 species
UACGGAGGGUGCGAGCGUUGUCCGGAAUCACUGGGCGUAAAGGGCGCGUAGGCGGCGCGGAUAGUCGGCGGUGAAAGCCCGGAGCUCAACUCCGGGUCGGCCGUCGAUACUUCCGGGCUUGAGCACUGUAGAGGCAGAUGGAAUUCCGGGUGUAGCGGUGGAAUGCGUAGAGAUCCGGAAGAACACCGACGGCGCAGGCACGUCCUGGGCCCGCUUGCUA